rnacentral:rRNA from 1 species
UACGUAGGGGGCUAGCGUUGUCCGGAAUCAUUGGGCGUAAAGCGCGUGUAGGCGGCCCGGUAAGUCCGCUGUGAAAGUCGGGGGCUCAACCCUCGAAAGCCGGUGGAUACUGUCGGGCUAGAGUGCGGAAGAGGCGAGUGGAAUUCCUGGCGUAGCGGUGAAAUGCGCAGAUAUCAGGAGGAACACCGAUUGCGAAGGCAGCUCGCUGGGACGUAACUGACGCUGAGACGCGAAAGCGUGGGGAGCAAACAGG